rnacentral:rRNA from 1 species
UACGUAGGGUGCAAGCGUUAAUCGGAAUUACUGGGCGUAAAGGGUGCGUAGGCGGCUAUUUAAGUUUGGUGUGAAAUCUCCCGGCUCAACUGGGAGGGUGCGCCGAAUACUGAGUGGCUAGAGUGUGGGAGAGGAAAGUGGAAUUCCUGGUGUAGCGGUGAAAUGCGCAGAAUAUCAGGAGGAACACCAGCGGCGAAGGCGGCGCUCUGGGCCGGUACUGACGCUGAGGACGAAAGCGUGGGGAGC